GUAGGUGGCAAGCGUUGUCCGGAAUUAUUGGGCGUAAAGCGCGCGCAGGCGGUUCGUUUAAGUCUGAUGUGAAAGCCCACGGGCUCAACCGUGGAGGGUCAUUGGAAACUGGAGAACUUGAGUACAGAAGAGGAAAGCGGAAUUCCACGUGUAGCGGUGAAAUGCGUAGAGGUGUGGAGGAACACCAGUGGCGAAGGCGGCUUUCUGGUCUGUAACUGACGCUGAGGCGCGAAAGCGUGGGGAGCAAACAGGAUUAGAUACCCUGGUAGUCCACGCCGUAAACGAUGAGUGCUAAGUGUUAGGGGGUUUCCGCCCCUUAGUGCUGCAGCUAACGCAUUAAGCACUCCGCCUGGGGAGUACGGCCGCAAAGGCUG
rnacentral:rRNA from 1 species